CGCGUAUUUUGCCCAGGCGGAGCUCGACCGCCGGUUCCGGUCAUGAUCGCCUUCAUCGACGAUCAUCGUGCGCUCUACGGGGUCGAGCCGAUCUGCAAGGUUCUGCCGAUCGCCCCG
rfam:Methylobacterium extorquens AM1 plasmid p1META1, complete sequence.